rnacentral:rRNA from 1 species
CUCCGGUGGUAUGAGAUGGACCCGCGUCUGAUUAGGUAGUUGGUGAGGUAACGGCCCACCAAGCCGACGAUCAGUAGCCGACCUGAGAGGGUGACCGGCCACAUUGGGACUGAGACACGGCCCAAACUCCUACGGGAGGCAGCAGUGGGGAAUAUUGGACAAUGGGGGAAACCCUGAUCCAGCGACGCCGCGUGACUGAAGAAGUAUUUCGGUAUGUAAAGGUCUAUCAGCAGGGAAGAAAAUGACGGUACCUGACUAAGAAGCCCCGGCUAACUACGUGCCAGCAGCCGCGGUAAUACGUAGGGGGCAAGCGUUAUCCGGAUUUACUGGGUGUAAAGCGCACGCAGGCGGUCUGUCAAGUCGGAUGUGAAAUCCCCGGGCUCAACCUGGGAACUGCAUUCGAAACUGGCAGGCUAGAGUCUUGUAGAGGGGGGUAGAAUUCCAGGUGUAGCGGUGAAAUGCGUAGAGAUCUGGAGGAAUACCGGUGGCGAAGGCGGCCCCCUGGACAAAGACUGACGCUCAGGUGCGAAAGCGUGGGGAGCAAACAGGAUUAGAUACCCUGGUAGUCCACGCCGUAAACGAUGUCGACUUGGAGGUUGUUCCCUUGAGGAGUGGCUUCCGGAGCUAACGCGUUAAGUCGACCGCCUGGGGAGACUGCCGC